UGCACCCGUCGGGUUCGGGUUCGGGUGUAAAAAUCCACCCACGGGUUAGACCCAAACCCGACCCGAAGCAUUACGGGUGCGGGUGCGGGUUUUGAUUUUCGCCCGCGGGUCACCCGGAACCCGGAGCUACGCCCGAAGCGCAGAGUUGCAGCCGGCCACCCGCCCAAGUCCCGUGCGCAUCCAGUUUGUAUUCCAGUGGGCCCUGAGAAAAACCCAAAUCCCUCAACCCUAAGUCCCCAACCGGCCGCCAUAGCAGAUUAGCAGGCUAGCACCACUGCACCAGGCGUCCAGGGCUCCAGGCGGCCGCGGCCACGAUAGAUCCGCCCGCCGCUGCCCGCCCCACCCCGGCCACCCCCUCCGCCGUCACCACCACCGGAGGACGCAUCCCCAGGGCCGCCGCAUCCUGCUCCUGCCGGAUCCCCAGGACCACCGGAGGAGGACGCAUCCCUAGGAGCCACCGAGCGUCCGAGGCCAAGCCAGGAGUCCAAGUCUCCACUAUCUAGGACCGGCACUCCCCACUCCGGCACUCCCCAGGACCACCGGAGUCCGACUGCAGCGGCCAGCGGCGCAGCCUGCUCCCACCACGUACGAGGUUCCUAUCCUUGUAGGUGAGAGUCUGAUGUCUGACCAAGGUGCUUCGAGGCCGAGCAGGAGCAGUCGUCAAGUUCCCACAAAGAGCAGUGCUGUGGUUGCAGGAGGUUCCUCAAGUGCAGCUACACCGACGAGUGCUGCUGCAAAUGAAAUGCCAUCUUCAAGUGUUCAAGCUCCACCAUCAGAAGGUACAGAACAUGUGGUCGUAAAUGAUGAUGAUGAUAAUGUACAAGUUGGAUGCAAAAGGAAGCUGAAAUCUGAUGUGUGGCUUGAAUUUGAACAAGUAACAGUUGGGGGUAAAAUGAAA